rnacentral:rRNA from 1 species
UACGAAGGGGGCGAGCGUUGUUCGGAAUUACUGGGCGUAAAGGGCGCGUAGGCGGCGACCCAAGUCAGAUGUGAAAGCCCCGGGCUUAACCUGGGAACUGCGUUUGAAACUGGGAGACUUGAGUGUGGCAGAGGGGGGUGGAAUUCCACGUGUAGCAGUGAAAUGCGUAGAUAUGUGGAGGAACACCGAUGGCGAAGGCAGCCCCCUGGGUUAACACUGACGCUCAUGCACGAAAGCGUGGGGAGCAAACAGG